ACAAUGGAGAGUUUGAUCCUGGCUCAGGAUGAACGCUAGCGGCAGGCCUAAUACAUGCAAGUCGAACGGGCGGUAGCAAUACCGCUAGUGGCGCACGGGUGCGUAACGCGUAACCAACCUGCCCUUGACUGGGGGAUAGCCCGCCGAAAGGCGGAUUAAUACCGCAUAACCUCACAGUGUGGCAUCACACAAUGAGUAAAGAUUUAUUGGUCAAGGAUGGGGUUGCGUAGCAUUAGCUAGUUGGCGGGGUAACGGCCCACCAAGGCGACGAUGCUUAGGGGACCUGAGAGGGUGAUCCCCCACACUGGCACUGAGAUACGGGCCAGACUCCUACGGGAGGCAGCAGUAGGGAAUAUUGGGCAAUGGGCGAGAGCCUGACCCAGCCAUGCCGCGUGCCGGAUGAAGGCCUUCUGGGUUGUAAACGGCU
rnacentral:ncRNA from 1 species